rnacentral:tRNA from 1 species
GGAUGGAUACCGAAGCGGUCAUAACGGGGUAGUCUUGAAAACUAUUGACGUGCAAGCGUCCGCGGGUUCGAAUCCUGCUCCAUCCGCCA